rnacentral:rRNA from 1 species
CCUACGGGUGGCAGCAGUGGGGAAUAUUGGGCAAUGGGCGCAAGCCUGACCCAGCAAUGCCGCGUGAAGGAAGAAGGCUUUCGGGUUGUAAACUUCUUUGACAGGGGAAGAGCAGAAGACGGUACCCUGAAAACAAGUCACGUCUAACUACGUGCCAGCCGCCGCGCUAAUACGUAGGUGGCACGUGUUGUCCGGAUUUACUGGGUGUAAAGGGCGUUUAGCCGGGAAGGCAAGUCAGAUGUGAAAUCGGGGGGCUCAACCUCCAAAUUGCAUUUGAAACUGUUUUUCUUGAGUACUGGAGAGGCAGACGGAAUGCCGUGUGUAGCGGUGAAAUGCGUAGAUAUAAGGAGGAACACCAGUAGCGAAGGCGGUCUACUGGACAGGAACUGACGGGGAGGCGCGAAAGCGUGGGGAGCAAACAGGAUUAGAUACCCGAGUAGUC